rnacentral:rRNA from 3 species
UUAAAUUGAAGAGUUUGAUCAUGGCUCAGAUUGAACGCUGGCGGCAGGCCUAACACAUGCAAGUCGAACGGUAACAGGAAGCAGCUUGCUGCUUCGCUGACGAGUGGCGGACGGGUGAGUAAUGUCUGGGAAACUGCCUGAUGGAGGGGGAUAACUACUGGAAACGGUGGCUAAUACCGCAUAACGUCGCAAGACCAAAGAGGGGGACCUUCGGGCCUCUUGCCAUCAGAUGUGCCCAGAUGGGAUUAGCUUGUUGGUGAGGUAACGGCUCACCAAGGCGACGAUCCCUAGCUGGUCUGAGAGGAUGACCAGCCACACUGGAACUGAGACACGGUCCAGACUCCUACGGGAGGCAGCAGUGGGGAAUAUUGCACAAUGGGCGCAAGCCUGAUGCAGCCAUGCCGCGUGUAUGAAGAAGGCCUUCGGGUUGUAAAGUACUUUCAGCGGGGAGGAAGGUGUUGUGGUUAAUAACCGCAGCAAUUGACGUUACCCGCAGAAGAAGCACCGGCUAACUCCGUGCCAGCAGCCGCGGUAAUACGGAGGGUGCAAGCGUUAAUCGGAAUUACUGGGCGUAAAGCGCACGCAGGCGGUCUGUCAAGUCGGAUGUGAAAUCCCCGGGCUCAACCUGGGAACUGCAUUCGAAACUGGCAGGCUUGAGUCUUGUAGAGGGGGGUAGAAUUCCAGGUGUAGCGGUGAAAUGCGUAGAGAUCUGGAGGAAUACCGGUGGCGAAGGCGGCCCCCUGGACAAAGACUGACGCUCAGGUGCGAAAGCGUGGGGAGCAAACAGGAUUAGAUACCCUGGUAGUCCACGCCGUAAACGAUGUCUACUUGGAGGUUGUGCCCUUGAGGCGUGGCUUCCGGAGCUAACGCGUUAAGUAGACCGCCUGGGGAGUACGGCCGCAAGGUUAAAACUCAAAUGAAUUGACGGGGGCCCGCACAAGCGGUGGAGCAUGUGGUUUAAUUCGAUGCAACGCGAAGAACCUUACCUGGUCUUGACAUCCACGGAAGUUUUCAGAGAUGAGAAUGUGCCUUCGGGAACCGUGAGACAGGUGCUGCAUGGCUGUCGUCAGCUCGUGUUGUGAAAUGUUGGGUUAAGUCCCGCAACGAGCGCAACCCUUAUCCUUUGUUGCCAGCGGUCCGGCCGGGAACUCAAAGGAGACUGCCAGUGAUAAACUGGAGGAAGGUGGGGAUGACGUCAAGUCAUCAUGGCCCUUACGACCAGGGCUACACACGUGCUACAAUGGCGCAUACAAAGAGAAGCGACCUCGCGAGAGCAAGCGGACCUCAUAAAGUGCGUCGUAGUCCGGAUUGGAGUCUGCAACUCGACUCCAUGAAGUCGGAAUCGCUAGUAAUCGUGGAUCAGAAUGCCACGGUGAAUACGUUCCCGGGCCUUGUACACACCGCCCGUCACACCAUGGGAGUGGGUUGCAAAAGAAGUAGGUAGCUUAACCUUCGGGAGGGCGCUUACCACUUUGUGAUUCAUGACUGGGGUGAAGUCGUAACAAGGUAACCGUAGGGGAACCUGCGGUUGGAUCACCUCCUUACCUUAAAGAA